rnacentral:rRNA from 1 species
UACGGGGGGUGCGAGCGUUAAUCGGAAUUACUGGGCGUAAAGGGUGCGUAGGUGGUUGAUUAAGUUAUCUGUGAAAUUCCUGGGCUUAACCUGGGCAUGUCGGAUGAUACUGAUUGACUCGAGUAUAGGAGAGGGUAGUGGAAUUUCCGGUGUAGCGGUGAAAUGCGUAGAGAUCGGAAGGAACACCAGUGGCGAAGGCGUCUGCCUGGUCUAAUACUGACACUGAGGCACGAAAGCGUGGGGAGCAAACAGG